GGUUAAGCGACUAAGCGUACACGGUGGAUGCCCUGGCAGUCAGAGGCGAUGAAGGACGUGCUAAUCUGCGAAAAGCGUCGGUAAGGUGAUAUGAACCGUUAUAACCGGCGAUGUCCGAAUGGGGAAACCCAGUGCAAUUCGUUGCACUAUCGUUAACUGAAUACAUAGGUUAACGAGGCGAACCGGGGGAACUGAAACAUCUAAGUACCCCGAGGAAAAGAAAUCAACCGAGAUUCCCCCAGUAGCGGCGAGCGAACGGGGAGCAGCCCAGAGUCUGAAUCAGCUUGUGUGUUAGUGGAACGGUCUGGAAAGUCCGACGGUACAGGGUGAUAGUCCCGUACACCAAAAUGCACAGGCUGUGAACUCGAAGAGUAGGGCGGGACACGUGGUAUCCUGUCUGAAUAUGGGGGGACCAUCCUCCAAGGCUAAAUACUCCUGACUGACCGAUAGUGAACCAGUACCGUGAGGGAAAGGCGAAAAGAACCCCGGCGAGGGGAGUGAAAAAGAACCUGAAACCGUGUACGUACAAGCAGUGGGAGCACCUUCGGGUGUGACUGCGUACCUUUUGUAUAAUGGGUCAGCGACUUAUAUUCUGUAGCAAGGUUAACCGUAUAGGGGAGCCGCAGGGAAACCGAGUCUUAACUGGGCGUUAAGUUGCAGGGUAUAGACCCGAAACCCGGUGAUCUAGCCAUGGGCAGGUUGAAGGUUGGGUAACACUAACUGGAGGACCGAACCGACUAAUGUUGAAAAAUUAGCGGAUGACUUGUGGCUGGGGGUGAAAGGCCAAUCAAACCGGGAGAUAGCUGGUUCUCCCCGAAAGCUAUUUAGGUAGCGCCUCGUGAACUCAUCUUCGGGGGUAGAGCACUGUUUCGGCUAGGGGGUCAUCCCGACUUACCAACCCGAUGCAAACUACGAAUACCGAAGAAUGUUAUCACGGGAGACACACGGCGGGUGCUAACGUCCGUCGUGAAGAGGGAAACAACCCAGACCGCCAGCUAAGGUCCCAAAGUCAUGGUUAAGUGGGAAACGAUGUGGGAAGGCACAGACAGCCAGGAUGUUGGCUUAGAAGCAGCCAUCAUUUAAAGAAAGCGUAAUAGCUCACUGGUCGAGUCGGCCUGCGCGGAAGAUGUAACGGGGCUAAACCAUGCACCGAAGCUGCGGCAGCGACACUAUGUGUUGUUGGGUAGGGGAGCGUUCUGUAAGCCUGCGAAGGUGUGCUGUGAGGCAUGCUGGAGGUAUCAGAAGUGCGAAUGCUGACAUAAGUAACGAUAAAGCGGGUGAAAAGCCCGCUCGCCGGAAGACCAAGGGUUCCUGUCCAACGUUAAUCGGGGCAGGGUGAGUCGACCCCUAAGGCGAGGCCGAAAGGCGUAGUCGAUGGGAAACAGGUUAAUAUUCCUGUACUUGGUGUUACUGCGAAGGGGGGACGGAGAAGGCUAUGUUAGCCGGGCGACGGUUGUCCCGGUUUAAGCAUGUAGGCUGAUUGUCCAGGCAAAUCCGGAUAAUCAAGGCUGAGGUGUGAUGACGAGGCACUACGGUGCUGAAGUAACAAAUGCCCUGCUUCCAGGAAAAGCCUCUAAGCAUCAGGUAACAUCAAAUCGUACCCCAAACCGACACAGGUGGUCAGGUAGAGAAUACCAAGGCGCUUGAGAGAACUCGGGUGAAGGAACUAGGCAAAAUGGUGCCGUAACUUCGGGAGAAGGCACGCUGGUGUGUAGGUGAAGCCCCUGCGGGUGGAGCUGAGACCAGUCGAAGAUACCAGCUGGCUGCAACUGUUUAUUAAAAACACAGCACUGUGCAAACACGAAAGUGGACGUAUACGGUGUGACGCCUGCCCGGUGCCGGAAGGUUAAUUGAUGGGGUUAUCCGUAAGGAGAAGCUCUUGAUCGAAGCCCCGGUAAACGGCGGCCGUAACUAUAACGGUCCUAAGGUAGCGAAAUUCCUUGUCGGGUAAGUUCCGACCUGCACGAAUGGCGUAAUGAUGGCCAGGCUGUCUCCACCCGAGACUCAGUGAAAUUGAACUCGCUGUGAAGAUGCAGUGUACCCGCGGCAAGACGGAAAGACCCCGUGAACCUUUACUAUAGCUUGACACUGAACAUUGAGCCUUGAUGUGUAGGAUAGGUGGGAGGCUUUGAAGCGUGGACGCCAGUCUGCGUGGAGCCAACCUUGAAAUACCACCCUUUAAUGUUUGAUGUUCUAACGUUGGCCCCUUACCGGGGUUGCGGACAGUGUCUGGUGGGUAGUUUGACUGGGGCGGUCUCCUCCCAAAGCGUAACGGAGGAGCACGAAGGUUAGCUAAUCCUGGUCGGACAUCAGGAGGUUAGUGCAAUGGCAUAAGCUAGCUUGACUGCGAGCGUGACGGCGCGAGCAGGUGCGAAAGCAGGUCAUAGUGAUCCGGUGGUUCUGAAUGGAAGGGCCAUCGCUCAACGGAUAAAAGGUACUCCGGGGAUAACAGGCUGAUACCGCCCAAGAGUUCAUAUCGACGGCGGUGUUUGGCACCUCGAUGUCGGCUCAUCACAUCCUGGGGCUGAAGUAGGUCCCAAGGGUAUGGCUGUUCGCCAUUUAAAGUGGUACGCGAGCUGGGUUUAGAACGUCGUGAGACAGUUCGGUCCCUAUCUGCCGUGGGCGCUGGAGAAUUGAGGGGGGCUGCUCCUAGUACGAGAGGACCGGAGUGGACGCAUCACUGGUGUUCGGGUUGUCAUGCCAAUGGCACUGCCCGGUAGCUAAAUGCGGAAGAGAUAAGUGCUGAAAGCAUCUAAGCACGAAACUUGCCCCGAGAUGAGUUCUCCCUGAGACUUUAAGUCUCCUGAAGGAACGUUAAAGACGAUGACGUUGAUAGGCCGGGUGUGUAAGCGCAGCGAUGCGUUGAGCUAACCGGUACUAAUGAACCGUGAGGCUUAACCUU
rnacentral:rRNA from 1 species